rnacentral:antisense_RNA from 1 species
UCUCACAUGAGGUCCCGGCGAGAAGGAUCUGCCUCCAUCAGAUUCACACUCGGGAGAGGAGCCCGGCCUCCAGGAGCGCCAGGCAGAGGAGAGGGCACCCAUUAGGAAGAAGAACACAGAGCCCAUGGGAGUGAAAAGUUUGAUGCUGGAAAGCAACAGUAACACAUUCUGCUACAGAGCGGAAUGAAAAACCCUGGAGAGCAAAUUCCUGAGCCAGAGAAUGGAGCGGAGGAACCAGCCAAGGAGGAUAAAGAGAGCUGCAUGCUCUGAGGCUGCCCGACCCUGCGCUCCAGAACAGGAGACAAGUGUUCAGGAGACAAGCAUGUCAGCCAUGACACAAGGCAGAUGAGAGGGAUCCCCAGCGUCCACAUGUGGAGGCAGCGGGGGCAGCCGAUCCAUACAAACAGGCCGAACAUCAAUCAGGGCUGGUCCCAGGCCACCCGGCCGGGUGCAAUGCAGAAAUGGAGAUCUGCCCCGGGGCAGCCA